rnacentral:rRNA from 1 species
CUUCCUCCUGUGAGCUCGUUGUGUGGGCGCACUCCGGGGGCGUCUCUCCAUUGCUCCCGCUCCUCUGCCCUCUAUGUCCCUGUGCUGUGUGUCAGGUGGUGUGAGCUGGUUCGCCGGUUUUGCAUUUGCCAGGCAUCCAGUGCAUGGUGACCGUGGGGUGCACGGGUGGCUGAGUGGGGGGGCGCACCAAGAGCGUACGCGUUGGGACCCGAAAGAUGGUGAACUAUGCCUGGCCAGGAUGAAGCCAGAGGAAACUCUGGUGGAGGUCCGUAGCGAUUCUGACGUGCAAAUCGAUCGUCUGAGCUGGGUAUAGGGGCGAAAGACUAAUCGAACCAUCUAGUAGCUGGUUCCCUCCGAAGUUUCCCUCAGGAUAGCUGGCGCUCGAACCUGGGAUCCUUCAGUAAGAGGGUGUUGACGAGAGUCCCAUCCGGUAAAGCGAAUGAUUAGAGGCCUUGGGGCCGAAAUGACCUCAACCUAUUCUCAAACUUUAAAUGGGUGGGAAACCUGGCUUGCUUGACUUGAAGCCAGGAUGGCUCCAUGCCUUUGAACUGAUCCAGGUGCUGCCCAGUGGGCCACUCUUGGU